rnacentral:rRNA from 1 species
UACCAGCACCCCGAGUGGUCGGGACGAUUAUUGGGCCUAAAGCAUCCGUAGCCGGUCCUGCAAGUCUUCCGUUAAAUCCACCUGCUUAACAGAUGGGCUGCGGAGGAUACUACAAGGCUAGGAGGCGGAAGAGGCAAGCGGUACUCAGUGGGUAGGGGUAAAAUCCUCUGAUCCAUUGAAGACCACCAGUGGCGAAGGCGGCUUGCCAAUACGCGCUCGACGGUGAGGGAUGAAAGCUGGGGGAGCAAACCGG